rnacentral:rRNA from 1 species
UGGGGAAUAUUGCACAAUGGGCGCAAGCCUGAUGCAGCCAUGCCGCGUGUAUGAAGAAGGCCUUCGGGUUGUAAAGUACUUUCAGCGGGGAGGAAGGCGAUAAGGUUAAUAACCUUGUCGAUUGACGUUACCCGCAGAAGAAGCACCGGCUAACUCCGUGCCAGCAGCCGCGGUAAUACGGAGGGUGCAAGCGUUAAUCGGAAUUACUGGGCGUAAAGCGCACGCAGGCGGUCUGUCAAGUCGGAUGUGAAAUCCCCGGGCUCAACCUGGGAACUGCAUUCGAAACUGGCAGGCUAGAGUCUUGUAGAGGGGGGUAGAAUUCCAGGUGUAGCGGUGAAAUGCGUAGAGAUCUGGAGGAAUACCGGUGGCGAAGGCGGCCCCCUGGACAAAGACUGACGCUCAUGUGCGAAAGCGUGGGGAGCAAACA